AUGCACGGCCCCAGCAUGCUCAUGAGGAACUGCAUGCGCGAGGCCAGCACCAAGUCCGCCUCCCACAGUGGCCGCCCGCUCGCGCUGGGCCGCACGAGCUCCGCGUAGGCCGGCAGUAACAGCAGCAGCCCCUGGCAUGCCUGCACCGCAUACAUACGCUCUACAUUUCUGCUUGACACAAGCAUGAACAACAACACGGAGGACUCUACAAAACGUGCAUUCAAUCAAGAAAGAGCAGGGGUUUGGGACAGCGGUGUCAACAGAUGUUGCAAAGGGCACUUCAAAAGGAUCAUCCACGCCCUUACUGUAUGAUCUGAGGAUGUCUGCUCCUCCUUAAGACUGCAGAGGCAUCAAAAUUGAUAGCGCACCUCGGAGGUGUUGGCGGUAGCGGUCAGCAGCGCCUGCAGGAGCAGCGAAUAGACGGAGAGGCGCAUGCGGCAGAACUGCAGGUGGCCCAGAAUGUCCAGCAGCCGCACCGCGACCUCCUCGGGCGCCAUGCGCGACUGCCCCUCCGCCAGCCCCCUCACUGGCUUGGCAGCGGCGUCCCAGAACGUGGACAUCAGCAGCACAGCGCACAUGAACACCUUGUCCAGCACCUGCAUUUGCAUUGCAGUCGCCAUUCAGUCCUGCAAAUAGCUGCAAAGCGUGACACACAACCACUGGCCCCAGGCACUUAAGAUAAUGUCCUCUCAAUGCUGUCCAUCACAGCACUCCUCAAUGUACAAGUGCACAACGUUGACAAGCACCAAUUUCCGUCAGGCAAGAGAGAUAUUCCUGGGACUCAGGCAUGCUGAAGCAAGAAUGAGGAUGAUGUCACCUGUCUGACUGCUCCGCUGUCGACCGCUUCCAGCCAGGAGUGCGGCGUGCGAAGCGCGUACUCCCGAUACCUCUCGUGAAAGGAGACGGCAAAGCGAUGCACAGCCAGUUGGGCUGCC
rnacentral:lncRNA from 1 species